rnacentral:rRNA from 1 species
AGUCGAGCGAACGGACGAGAAGCUUGCUUCUCUGAUGUUAGCGGCGGACGGGUGAGUAACACGUGGAUAACCUACCUAUAAGACUGGGAUAACUUCGGGAAACCGGAGCUAAUACCGGAUAAUAUUUUGAACCGCAUGGUUCAAAAGUGAAAGACGGUCUUGCUGUCACUUAUAGAUGGAUCCGCGCUGCAUUAGCUAGUUGGUAAGGUAACGGCUUACCAAGGCAACGAUGCAUAGCCGACCUGAGAGGGUGAUCGGCCACACUGGAACUGAGACACGGUCCAGACUCCUACGGGAGGCAGCAGUAGGGAAUCUUCCGCAAUGGGCGAAAGCCUGACGGAGCAACGCCGCGUGAGUGAUGAAGGUCUUCGGAUCGUAAAACUCUGUUAUUAGGGAAGAACAUAUGUGUAAGUAACUGUGCACAUCUUGACGGUACCUAAUCAGAAAGCCACGGCUAACUACGUGCCAGCAGCCGCGGUAAUACGUAGGUGGCAAGCGUUAUCCGGAAUUAUUGGGCGUAAAGCGCGCGUAGGCGGUUUUUUAAGUCUGAUGUGAAAGCCCACGGCUCAACCGUGGAGGGUCAUUGGAAACUGGAAAACUUGAGUGCAGAAGAGGAAAGUGGAAUUCCAUGUGUAGCGGUGAAAUGCGCAGAGAUAUGGAGGAACACCAGUGGCGAAGGCGACUUUCUGGUCUGUAACUGACGCUGAUGUGCGAAAGCGUGGGGAUCAAACAGGAUUAGAUACCCUGGUAGUCCACGCCGUAAACGAUGAGUGCUAAGUGUUAGGGGGUUUCCGCCCCUUAGUGCUGCAGCUAACGCAUUAAGCACUCCGCCUGGGGAGUACGACCGCAAGGUUGAAACUCAAAGGAAUUGACGGGGACCCGCACAAGCGGUGGAGCAUGUGGUUUAAUUCGAAGCAACGCGAAGAACCUUACCAAAUCUUGACAUCCUUUGACAACUCUAGAGAUAGAGCCUUCCCCUUCGGGGGACAAAGUGACA